CAAGAAAUAUGCAUUGUGGAGAGAAGAGAAAUAGAAUAAGAAAACGCAAAGAGAAAGAAUGAAGCUCAUGGAAACUCAUCACCAUCAUCAAUUCCUCUCAUCUUCUUCCCCAAUAUUCAUAAUCUUCAGUAUCUCAAGGUAUUCCUUUCAGGUUGAAUUCAAGAGAAGUUUCUAGAUGGUGUUUCAAAGGUUUUUGACUAUUGUGCUCUUCUGUUGUGGAUCGUGUGCAUUGAAGAGAUUGCACCUAGAUCUUAGUUUUUAUUUUUUUGGAACUAAUUUAUAACAUGUACCAUAAACUUAUUUUAGUUUGGACAUGUGUAUACAAUGAUGUCAUUAGGCUCUUAUGUUGUGUCAGUACUAAGAAUUAACACUUGUAUGGUAUUAUUCUAGAUAUAUAUUAUAUAGGUUGUUAUAGUUGGUAGCAGAGCAGGUUGAUUCUUGACCUGAGUUGUGAUUCUGGUAAUGUAUAACCGAAGGGUGGUGUAUGAUUUCAGCAAUCUUGUAGUGCUAAUGAAAUCAUGGAGUUGAGAAUUUCUAUUGGAUGAA